rnacentral:piRNA from 1 species
UGGAAUCUUAACAAUAGCAUCUAGCACUUU